AUAAAACUAAGCUAAAACCAGUUGCCUACCGGUGUUGUGUCACUUUUGCCAUGGCCCUUAGCGACGCUGAUGUACAAAAGCAGAUUAAGCACAUGAUGGCUUUCAUUGAACAAGAAACCAAUGAGAAAGCAGAAGAAAUCGAUGCAAAAGCUGAAGAAGAGUUCAACAUUGAAAAAGGUCUUCUUGUGCAAACGCAGGGACUAAAGAUAAUGGUAUACUAUAAGAAGAAGGAAAAGCAGAUUGAGCAGCAGAAGAAAAUUCAGAUGUCCAGCUUGAUGAAUUAAGCCAGGCUGAAAGUCCUCAGAGCAAGAGAUGACCUCAUCUCUGACCUGCUCACCAAAGCAAAGCAGAGACUCAGCAAGGUGGUAAAAGAUACUAGGUACCGAGUACUGCUAGAUGGACUGGUGCGCCAGGCUUUGUACCAGCUGUUGGAGCCCUGAAAGUGUGCUGCAGGAAACAAGAUUUCCCCUUGGUAAAGCCUGCAGUGCAAAAGGCCAUCUCUAUGUACAAAAUUGCCACUAAGAAAGAUGUUGAUGUUCAAAUUGAUCAGGAGGCCUACCUGCCUAAGGACAUAGCUGGUGGAGUUGAGAUCUAUAAUGGGGAUCAUAAAAUAAAAGUUUCCAACACCAUGGAGAGUCAGCUGGAUCUCAUAGCCCAGCAGAUGAUGCCAGAGGUUUGGGGAGGCUUGUUCGGUUCAAAUCUAACAGGAAGUUUUUGGACUAAGCCUCGGUGAGGUGGAAUUCAUGUUCUGCUCCUCAUCUGAAGAAGCAAGACUGUGGCUUUCUCUCCACUGUUCUGA